rnacentral:miRNA from 1 species
UAGGUGGCGCCGGAGGAGUCAUU